GAAGGGCAGCUGAUUGAAAGCAGAUGU
rnacentral:piRNA from 1 species